GUACAGCCUAAGACCAUUGGAAAACACAGACAUUUGCAUUACGAUUCAUUAACAGUAGCAAAAUUACAGUCAUGAAGUAGCAACGAAAAUAAUGUUAUGGUUGGGGGUCACCAUGACAUGAGGAGCCGUAUGAAAGGGUGGCGGCAUUAGGAAGGUAGAGAACCCCUGCCCUAGAGUCUGGCUAGGGUAGC